rnacentral:rRNA from 1 species
UACAGAGGGUGCAAGCGUUAAUCGGAAUUACUGGGCGUAAAGCGUGCGUAGACGGUUAUGUAAGUCGGGUGUGAAAGCCCCGGGCUCAACCUGGGAAUGCCAUUCGAGACUGCAUAGCUAGGGUGCGGAAGAGGGAAGCGGAAUUUCAGGUGUAGCGGUGAAAUUCGUAGAUAUUCGGAAGAACACCAGUGGCGAAGGCGACUUACUGGACACAUAUUGACGCUGAGGUGCGAAAGCGUGGGGAGCAAACAGG